CAAUAGCGUAUAUUAAAGUUGUUGCAGUUAAAAAGCUCGUAGUUGGACCUUGGACCUGGACAGGCGGUCCGCCUCACGGCGUGUACUGUCUUGCUGGGUCAUUCCUCUUGGUGAUCUGUUGUUUCGGCAGCAGGGAACCAGGACUUUUACUUUGAAAAAAUUAGAGUGUUCAAAGCAGGCUCGACGCCGGAAUAUAUUAGCAUGGAAUAAUAAAAUAGGACGUGCGGUUCUAUUUUGUUGGUUUUUGGAAUCGCCGUAAUGAUUAAUAGGGACAGUCGGGGGCAUUAGUACUCACAUGCUAGAGGUGAAAUUCUUGGAUUUUGUGAAGACUAACUUCUGCGAAAGCAUUUGCCAAGGAUGUUUUCAUUAA
rnacentral:rRNA from 1 species